UUAAGUCUGUUAUGCAUACU
rnacentral:miRNA from 1 species